rnacentral:rRNA from 1 species
UCGGAGUCCGAGUUGUAAUUUGUAGAAGAUGCUUUGGGUUGUGGGUCUCGGCCUAAGUUCCUUGGAACAGGACGUCAUAGAGGGUGAGAAUCCCGUACGUGGCCGAGGCCUGCGCCUAUGUAAAGCUCUUUCGACGAGUCGAGUUGUUUGGGAAUGCAGCUCAAAAUGGGUGGUAAAUUUCAUCUAAAGCUAAAUAUGGGCCAGAGACCGAUAGCGCACAAGUAGAGUGAUCGAAAGAUGAAAAGCACUUUGGAAAGAGAGUUAAACAGUACGUGAAAUUGUUGAAAGGGAAGCGCUUGCAACCAGACUUGGGCGCUGCCGAUCACCCUGAGUUUUCUCAGGUGCACUCGACAGCGCACAGGCCAGCAUCGGUUCGGGUGGCUGGAUAAAGGCCGUAGGAACGUAGCUCCUCUCGGGGAGUGUUAUAGCCUACGGUGCCAUGCAGCCCAGCCGGACCGAGGACCGCGCCUUCGGGCUAGGAUGCUGGCGUAAUGGUUGUAAGCGACCCGUCUUGAAACACGGACCAAGGAGUCUAACAUCUAUGCGAGUGUUUGGGCGUUAAACCCAUACGCGGAAUGAAAGUGAACGUAGGUGAGAACCCCUUUGGGGUGCAUCAUCGACCGAUCCUGAUGUCUUCGGAUGGAUUUGAGUAAGAGCAUAGCUGGUUGGGACC